AGAGUUUGAUCAUGGCUCAGAUUGAACGCUGGCGGCAUGCUUUACACAUGCAAGUCGAGCGGCAGCGCGGGGGCAACCCUGGCGGCGAGCGGCGAACGGGUGAGUAAUAGAUAGGAACGUGUCCGGGAGUGGGGGAUAACUAGCCGAAAGGUUAGCUAAUACCGCAUAUUCUCUACGGAGGAAAGCAGGGGAACCGCAAGGUCCUUGCGCUCGCGGAGUGGCCUAUCUCCGAUUAGCUAGUUGGUGAGGUAAAGGCUUACCAAGGCGACGAUCGGUAGCUGGUCUGAGAGGAUGAUCAGCCACACUGGGACUGAGACACGGCCCAGACUCCUACGGGAGGCAGCAGUGGGGAAUUUUGGACAAUGGGGGCAACCCUGAUCCAGCCAUGCCGCGUGCGGGAAGAAGGCCUUCGGGUUGUAAACCGCUUUUAUUCGGAAAGAAGGAGUUCGGGUUAAUACCCUGGAUGACAGACGGUACCGGAUGAAUAAGCACCGGCUAACUACGUGCCAGCAGCCGCGGUAAUACGUAGGGUGCGAGCGUUAAUCGGAAUUACUGGGCGUAAAGCGUGCGUAGGCGGUUCGUUAAGUCAGCUGUGAAAGCCCCGGGCUCAACCUGGAAACUGCGGUUGAAACUGGCGAACUAGAAUCUGGCAGAGGGGGGUGGAAUUCCACGUGUAGCAGUGAAAUGCGUAGAGAUGUGGAGGAACACCGAUGGCGAAGGCAGCCCCCUGGGCUGAGAUUGACGCUCAGGCACGAAAGCGUGGGGAGCAAACAGGAUUAGAUACCCUAGUAGUCC
rnacentral:rRNA from 1 species